UUGGACAAUGGGCGCAAGCCUGAUCCAGCCAUGCCGCGUGCAGGAUGACGGUCCUAUGGAUUGUAAACUGCUUUUAUACGAGAAGAAACAUCCCGACGUGUCGGGACUUGACGGUAUCGUAAGAAUAAGGAUCGGCUAACUCCGUGCCAGCAGCCGCGGUAAUACGGAGGAUCCAAGCGUUAUCCGGAAUCAUUGGGUUUAAAGGGUCCGUAGGCGGUUUAAUAAGUCAGUGGUGAAAGCCCAUCGCUCAACGGUGGAACGGCCAUUGAUACUGUUAGACUUGAAUUAUUAGGAAGUAACUAGAAUAUGUAGUGUAGCGGUGAAAUGCUUAGAGAUUACAUGGAAUACCAAUUGCGAAGGCAGGUUACUACUAAUUGAUUGACGCUGAUGGACGAAAGCGUGGGUAGCGAACAGGAUUAGAUACCCUGGUAGUCCACGCCGUAAACGAUGGAUACUAGCUGUUGGGAGCAAUCUCAGUGGCUAAGCGAAAGUGAUAAGU
rnacentral:rRNA from 1 species